AUUUCCAAGUAGUAUAGUUGCAGAUCUUCGAACGCCAUUCCUGUGUUCUGUGAAUUCAAGACAACAUGGGUUUUAUAACCCUUUGACUCUGCUCAGCAUCUCCCAGAUCAAGACGAAGGAGGACUCUCGGAAGCCAAGAAAGGUUUAAGAAGUCUUUCUGGAUAGAGAGCAGUGCCCAGGCAGGAAGCCUUUCGCCGGCAGAGCGGGGUCCAAGGACGAGCUGGAGAGGACAGAGGCGCGAUGGGCCUGCUGCAGGGCCUGCUCCGAGUCCGGAAGCUGCUGCUGGUCGUCUGCGUCCCGCUCCUGCUGCUGCCUCUGCCCGUCCUCCACCCCAGCAGCGAGGCCUCGUGUGCUUACGUGCUGAUCGUGACUGCUGUGUACUGGGUGUCGGAGGCAGUGCCUCUGGGAGCUGCAGCCCUGGUGCCGGCCUUCCUUUACCCGUUCUUCGGAGUCCUCCGGUCCAAUGAGGUGGCGGCGGAGUACUUCAAGAACACCACGCUGCUGCUGGUGGGGGUCAUCUGCGUGGCGGCUGCCGUGGAGAAGUGGAACCUGCAUAAGCGCAUUGCUCUGCGCAUGGU
rnacentral:lncRNA from 1 species